rnacentral:rRNA from 1 species
GUGAAGCGGCAACAGCUCAAAUUUGAAAUCUGGCUCUUUUAGAGUCCGAGUUGUAAUUUGCAGAGGGCGCUUUGGCUUUGGCAGCGGUCCAAGUUCCUNGGAACAGGACGUCACAGAGGGUGAGAAUCCCGUACGUGACUUGGAGUUCGCCGCGUACGAUUCGUGUUCGCAGAGUCGCGUUGUUUGGGAUUGCAGCGCUAAAUGGGUGGUAAAUUUCAUCUAAAGCUAAAUAUCGACGAGAGACCGAUAGCGAACAAGUACCGUGAGGGAAAGAUGAAAAGAACUUUGAAAAGAGAGUUAAAAAGUACUUGAAAUUGCUAAGAGGGAAGCACUGGAAACCAGUCGUGACCUGCGUGUAUAUUUAGCAUAUGCGUCUGGAUCCGCGUAGUGUUGGGAGCCAAAAGCCUCAUAGCUAUUCGGUGAAUUGCGUGUUAGCGACCUGUACUGUGGGUUGAGUCAGAAUCAAUUCGAGUCGUGAGAGAAAGCUAUCGUAACGGUAGGACCGCGGGGGCAACUCCAAGGUCUGUUUAGUAUGGUAGUGCUAUCAUGGAUUGGAUUGAGGGACAAUCAACAACGCGCCCCGCAUGGGAUGCGCUCCCCGACCCUUGAUGAUCAGAAGGUUUGGACAACAAAGUUGUGCUAUCUUCGAAGUUAUCUACUGGAAAGGAUGAGCGACAAGCAGCGUUCGAGAUUCUGACGAAAUGGUUUUCAUUGACCCGUCUUGAAACACGGACCAAGGAGUCUAACAUAUAUGCGAGUAUUUGGGCCUGGAAACCCUUAUGCGCAAUGAAAGUGAA